CCGUGCCAGCAGCCGCGGUAAUACGGAGGGGGCUAGCGUUGUUCGGAAUUACUGGGCGUAAAGCGUACGUAGGCGGAUCAGAAAGUAUGGGGUGAAAUCCCAGGGCUUAACCCUGGAACUGCCUCAUAAACUCCUGGUCUUGAGUUCGAGAGAGGUGAGUGGAAUUGCGAGUGUAGAGGUGAAAUUCGUAGAUAUUCGCAGGAACACCAGUGGCGAAGGCGGCUCACUGGCUCGAUACUGACGCUGAGGUACGAAAGUGUGGGGAGCAAACAGGAUUAGAUACCCUGGUAGUCCACACCGUAAACGAUGAAUGCCAGUCGUCGGGCAGUAUACUGUUCGGUGACACACCUAACGGAUUAAGC
rnacentral:rRNA from 1 species